AACAAACGCUGGCGGCGUGCCUAAUACAUGCAAGUCGAACGGGGAAAGUAGCAAUACGAGUACUAGUGGCGCACGGGUGAGGAAUACAUGGGUAAUCUGCCCUCGAGCUCGGGAUAACCAGUCGAAAGACUGGCUAAUACCGGAUAUGACCACAAGAUCUGAGGAUCAAGGGGUAAAAGGUUUUUCGCUUGAGGAUGAGCCCAUGUGGGAUUAGCUAGUUGGUGUAGGUAACGGCUCACCAAGGCGACGAUCCCUAACUGGUCUUAGAGGAUGAUCAGUCACACUGGAACUGAGACACGGUCCAGACUCCUACGGGAGGCAGCAGUAGGGAAUAUUGCACAAUGGAGGAAACUCUGAUGCAGCGACGCCGCGUGAGUGAUGAAGGCCUUCGGGUCGUAAAGUGCUUUCUGAGAGAUGAGAAAGGACAGGUAAUCUCAGGAAUAAGUACUCGGCUAACUACGUGCCAGCAGCCGUCGGAAU
rnacentral:rRNA from 1 species